AUAAAAAUGUUGACGGAAAGAAGUAAUUAUGGGAUUCAUGCAGAGAGCCGAUGGAUGGUGCAAAUCGGUUGAUGAUCAUAAUGAAAUACAUUCCUGAAUUGCAGGCUGAACAGUAAUUAGUAGGCUGAGCCGUUUUAUUCCCACGUUACGGGAAAAGAGUGGAUCUAUUUGCAUCAAAUAGGGUGGUACCGCGAAGUAUAUUCGUCCCUUUC
rnacentral:ncRNA from 1 species